rnacentral:lncRNA from 1 species
CAGAAAGGAUAAAUAUGGAUAACUACCGAUUUACCUUUCGGUGAUGGUUCAAUGUUUUAAGUCUUCUGAACAAGACUUCUCACUGUGUUCAUUCUUUAGGUGCGCCAUUUGAUUUAGGUGUGGACCUUUAUGUCUGCACCUAUUGAUACGGUGUCACCCAUGUUCUUCGUUUGCCCAGCAGUUCGAAGUGCGGCGUUGGUAGCAUCCUGGUCAGUGUGUUUGUGCUCGUAGAUCCAGGUCCUUCACUUGGUGGAGUCUGGGAGUUGUAAAACUCCUCCAUGUUUUGCUCGAAGUGUGCCUGCUCAUAGAGACAAGGCAGAGAUCAAUUGCAUGGGCCUUGUUGGUGGUAAACACCAACAGAACCAAAAGUGUAUUUGUUCUUCUCUAACAUUAAGCAUAGUGAGCAAGACAAAGUUGAUGGAUAAUAAGAUCAUGAGUGUAGCAUUUAAACCAUUUGUCAGAUCAGAUCGCUCAACCUAAUGGAAAGAUAAUCUAUCUAUAUUUAUGUUUUUUAUAUAUCUUCCAAAUAUUGAGUGUGCAACAUUUUAGCUUAUAUGAUUAGGAGUGUGGGAUCAAAAAGGUGGAAGGACUAAAUAUGUUGAAUCGAUUGGGUUGGUUAAUCUAGAGUUGUAAAUCAUACAUGUUUGUCUCUUUUAUUCAUGUAAACGCCAGAACCAAGGAGAAGCUUAUAAAAGUGAUAGUCAGU